AAGAACAGUAGUCAGAAGUUCAAAGGAACUAGAUCACAAAAUGAAAUGGACAUUUUUAUAUAUGGUUUAACACUUAAAUUUUUCUGGACAAGAACUCUCCAGUUCAAUACCAGACAUACGGCGUCCAUGCCUGGCACGUGCCUGGGAAGCACCGAAGGCCAGUCGCAGGUGGCCCCUUGCCCAUCUCGCCCUCUCACCUGCCUCAUCAAGGUGAUGUGAACGGUCAGGAAGAGCCCUUCUCUAACACUUCAAACUCUGGUUUUCAUGAGAUAUUAGCACUCAGUAACCAGAAGGAUGAACCACAUUCAGUUCUCUUCCUUCAAACUUUAUUCCCUUUCCUUCUCUCUCUCUUUUUCCUUGAACCUGGCUACUGCCUAAAGCAUGUGAUCAUGUUCAUUUACAGAGUUGUUGCCCAGGAAGAUGAGCCUCACACAUCCUUCCUGUCUGAGAUGUUCUAACUAGAAUUAGAAAUAAUAGAGAUGCAUCCUAGAAAGACAAACUCAGCCACGUGGGCCUGCUGGUAUUCCCAGGGCCCCUUUGUCCCAACAAUGCUCCCAGGUCCUACGGCUGAAAUCAGAAGGGAAAAAGCCAUUUAUUCCUCUCUCACCUCACAAGUGCCAUCCACCAGCAGACUGGUGCCCUCAGCUUGCCCUCUCCCUCCUGCACCUGAGUGAAAGUGCUCUCGUCAAUGUCACCAGUGACCUUUCUGUGGUCAGAUACAGAGGACACCUCUCUGUGUUCGCCCUAAUACUCAGUCUCACUACAUUCCCCACGGACCGCCACUCCUGGAAACAAACUGAACUCUUGGCUUCCACGACCCGCCAUCCUCCUGCUCUUUCUCCUCCCUGUCUGCUCCAUCUCAGUUUACCUUGUCGGUUCCUCUUCUGGUACCUGGCCUCUACAUGUUGGCAUUCCUCAGGCCUUAGGUCAUUUUCUUCCUUCAUAGUCUCUCUUAGGUGUUCUGUUCUGUUCAUGUAGCUCUUACACAACAGCACUAUUUCAAGUGGUUCUGCUGUAGGCUGCCAGCUCCGUGCUGGUGUACCCACCUGCCUCCUUGUACCUCCACUCAGACAGCUCGUUGGCAUCUUCUCUUAACAAGUCCAAAAUGGAAAUCUUUUCUUCCCAAGCCUUAUUCUGCCCUUGUCCUUUAUUUCCCCGUCUUGGUGAAUGGUACAACCAUCAUUUGGCAUCAUCCUUGAUUCCUCUCUCACCUCUCAAAUACCAUCCACCUGCAAGUCUUACUAGUCUUCUCUUUAAAUAUACGUGGACCCUGUCAGCUUAUGCUCACUUUCACUUUCACUGCCUGAGUUCAAGACACAGGACAGGGAGAUGCAACCAGUGUGGGCUGCCCACGAUAAUCACACUUAAAAGAAGGGCACAGUGUGGAUGUCUUUCACAGGCAUGCCUUGGGGAUACUGUUAAAGACAGAAAAUUCAAAGCUAAAUUUUGUUGCUCAGAUGAGAAGUUAAGUGUAGGAUACUGUUAAUCAUACAUCCUGCACCGAGCUCACCCCCAGGACAACUAACCUAGUUACCAUAUCCAGGGAUGGUCCAGUCACAUUAUUGUUUCUUACGUGGGCUACUGCAAUAACCCACUCUUCUCUAUACUUGUACUCUUGUCUACCUCUAAGGAUUCUCCAUACAGCAUCCACAAUAGUGUCUUUGAGACAUAAAUUAGAUCAUGCCAUUCCCUUGCUUAAAACUUUUGGUGCAUUCUCACUGUUCUUAGAUUAAAACCCAAAAUUGUUAAUAUGACCCACGAAAGCCUGCAUGAUCUGGCCCCUGCCAGCCUCCCAGCUUCAUCUCCUUUCAUCCCUUAUUCUCCACCCAUGCUAGUCUUCGUUCAGUUCCUCAAAUGCACCAAACUCAUUCUCUGUUCUGAGAUGUCAUUGCCGAUCCUCCUUUACAGAAGGUCCUCCCCCCCAGCUAGUCACAGGACAGGUCCUUCUCCACUCUUUAGGGCUUAAAUAUCACCCCAGGGAGAGCCCCAGUCCACAGGAGAUAUUCUGCUCUCCCCAAGAACAUCUUGCUUUUAUCUCUUCAUAGGACUUGUAAUUUAUAUCUUUCCCUGCUUAUUUGAUUAACAUCAGUCUCGAUUACUAAAUUGUAAUAGACAUGAAGGCAGUGACCACAUUGGUCUUACCUCAGCGAACUUUGUAUCUAACAUAGUGUUUGACACACCAGUAAGGCUCAGUGUACAUUGGGUGAACAAAUACAUCUAUUCCACAAAUAAAAAUGGAAGACUUGAAACCAAAUGCCUACUUGAGGAAAUAGGUCACAGCAAAAGAUCUUCAUUUAAAGAAUAAUCUGCCAAAAAUAGGUCUGUGUCUGUGACUUUUAUCAGCUUGCAGAGGGAGGAUGGUGGUGAAAUGCUAAUGUGUGUUUGAAGCUGGACAGGAAUAAAUAAGUUUUGAGGAAAGGGUGCAGAAGAGGAUGCCAGCAAUAGAGAGUGCCCUGGGGAGAGUUCUCCGCCUCAUCGGCGGCCCCUGAGAGGGGGAGGGACAAGGAGAGCUCUGGAUCUGAGGACUUGCCAGUCAAGUUGCCCCAGCUUUUCACAGAUGUCCCUUGUUAAUGGUACGAGCUGCAAUGCUGUAAUGACUUAGCUUAAAGGAUUUUCUUCCCUGGGGAAUCACUGCUUGAUCAGUGUGCCUGUGGAGCUUCACAUGCUCCCACAGGUAAGAAAGCCCCAAAUAUCUUACAGUCCCUGGGUAAAGAAGCAAGUCCCUUUCCUACGUUAGGAUCAAGUUUUUUCCCUUUCCUGUUGUCGGUUCUAGCCAUUCUGGAUCUCUCCUAGAAAACAGACUGAUUAAUUACACACUAUUAGUAUAUAGGUGCACAAAUUAUAUCCCCCAUUAUCUUUGAGUUAAAAGAUGUACAAUCUCUUAAAUUAUUUGGUAGAUACAGGAAUAUUGAAAAAUAAAAUACACUCCUUCACUUCCUAUGCCAGAGAUAAACAAAACAAAACACCCCUUUUACUGUGUUUUAACAACUUGUUUAUUUUAUGGAAUAUAACUCAAGUAAUAGUAACCAGAGGGGUGACCCACUGGUAGGAAUAAAGUACUUAUUACAAGAAAUAACUAUGUUAUUGGUUUUCCCAGGUGGUUCUACCUUGAGCAAAUAAUUUGUACAGAAGAGGAAAGUGUAACUCAUACUGAAGAAGAGUUAAUUUUAUCCUGUGCUGAAAGUGCCACACUCCGAACCUGGAUUGAAUUAAAAAUACUCACUCCGAAUACUGGAAACACUGAGCCAGUUUGAGACGUAAAGAGUUUUACCGCUCAGAUGAAUAAAAUUAUUCUGCAAAGAGAUCCAUGGAUUUGCUUUUCUAGAGUUGUGUUCAUCACAGAAAUACAGCCCUAAGACGGCAGAAAGCAGAAACAAGGAAUGAGAAUAAUCAAUCAGAAGGAACCUAUUUCAUGGGACAAAUGAUGGAAAUUGACAUAGCCACCUCUUGUCAAAGAUGGCAGAAAUGAAAAUGCGCUACUUGGGGGAUACUCUGGACUUCAGCCACAUUCGUAUCUCUGUGGAACCCACACAAAGUCUUCAUGAUCCCGCCCUCUGCCUCUUCGGCCAUCCCUGGGCAUGACUCAGGCGUCAGAUUCAUUCACUUCUGGACCAAAGCCCCACAAGUAAUGUGCAACUCUAUCCCCAUCAAUGUGCCCCCAGGGAACAAAGUCCCCUUUUUAACAAUUUUGGCUGUUUAAAAAGAAAAUGAAUUCGUGAAAGCAAAGCUCUUGUGUCUGGAGUCAUGCAAUUUUGUUAUAUUUUGUCAAGCUAGCCUUAGAUGGUUAUUUUUCUGUAUCCAGCUUUAUCUUUCAAAACACUGUCCUCUGUUGUAUGUUUCUAUGUUGGAACCCAGUAGUCAUCCUUUUUCCCCCCCUUUAAAAAUAAUUUAUGCAUUUCUGAUUACA